GACGAACGCUGGCGGCGUGCUUAACACAUGUAAGUCGAACGGAAAGGCCCUGCUUUUGUGGGGUGCUCGAGUGGCGAACGGGUGAGUAACACGUGAGUAACCUGCCCUUGACUUUGGGAUAACUUCAGGAAACUGGGGCUAAUACCGGAUAGGAGCUCCUGCUGCAUGGUGGGGGUUGGAAAGUUUCGGCGGUUGGGGAUGGACUCGCGGCUUAUCAGCUUGUUGGUGGGGUAGUGGCUUACCAAGGCUUUCACGGGUAGCCGGCCUGAGAGGGUGACCGGCCACAUUGGGACUGAGAUACGGCCCAGACUCCUACGGGAGGCAGCAGUGGGGAAUAUUGCACAAUGGGCGGAAGCCUGAUGCAGCAACGCCGCGUGCGGGAUGACGGCCUUCGGGUUGUAAACCGCUUUCGCCUGUGACGAAGCGUGAGUGACGGUAAUGGGUAAAGAAGCACCGGCUAACUACGUG
rnacentral:rRNA from 1 species